AGUCAACCUAACCUAUGGACGGGAAUAACCUCGGGAAACUGAGAAUAAUGCCCGAUAGAACAUUAUGCCUGGAAUGGUUUAUGUUCCAAAUGAUUUAUCGCCGUAGGAUGGGACUGCGGCCUAUCAGUUUGUUGGUGAGGUAAUGGCCCACCAAGACUAUUACAGGUACGGGCUCUGAGAGGAGUAGCCCGGAGAUGGGUACUGAGACACGGACCCAGGCCCUAUGGGGCGCAGCAGGCGAGAAAACUUUGCAAUGUGCGAAAGCACGACAAGGUUAAUCCGAGUGGUUUCUGCUAAAGAAACCUUUUGUCAGUCCUAGAAACACUGAUGAAUAAGGGGUGGGCAAGUUCUGGUGUCAGCCGCCGCGGUAAAACCAGCACCUCAAGUGGUCAGGAUGAUUAUUGGGCCUAAAGCAUCCGUAGCCGGCUCUGUAAGUUUUCGGUUAAAUCUGUACGCUCAACGUACAGGCUGCCGGGAAUACUGCAGAGCUAGGGAGUGGGAGAGGUAGACGGUACUCGGUAGGAAGGGGUAAAAUCCUUUGAUCUAUUGAUGACCACCUGUGGCGAAGGCGGUCUACCAGAACACGUCCGACGGUGAGGGAUGAAAGCUGGGGGAGCAAACCGGAUUAGAUACCCGGGUAGUCCCAGCUGUAAACUAUGCAAACUCAGUGAUGCAUUGGCUUGUGGCCAAUGCAGUGCUGCAGGGAAGCCGUUAAGUUUGCCGCCUGGGAAGUACGUACGCAAGUAUGAAACUUA
rnacentral:rRNA from 1 species